UACGUAGGUGGCAAGCGUUGUCCGGAUUUACUGGGCGUAAAGAGCGCGCAGGCGGUCGUUCAAGUCGCGUGUGAAAGCCCCCGGCUCAACUGGGGAGGGUCACGCGAUACUGAUCGACUCGAAGGCAGGAGAGGGUAGUGGAAUUCCCGGUGUAGUGGUGAAAUGCGUAGAUAUCGGGGAGGAACACCAGUGGCGAAGGCGACUACCUGGCCCACUCUUGACGCUGAGGCGCGAAAGCUAGGGGAGCGAACAGG
rnacentral:rRNA from 1 species